AUUCCAGCUCCAAUAGCGUAUAUUAAAGUUGUUGCAGUUAAAAAGCUCGUAGUUGGAGUUCAGAGUGAGCUCAGCCGGUCCGCCUCAUGGGUGAGUACUGGUCGACUCUCUCUUGUUUGUGAAUCCCGCCCGGAGUUAAUUCUUCGGGAUGUGGAGUUCACAUCGUUUACCUUGAAAAAAUUAGAGUGUUCAAAGCAGGCGUUUGCUUGAAUAUAUUAGCAUGGAAUAAUGGAAUAGGACCCUGGUUCUAUUUUGUUGGUUUUGAGAACCAGAGUAAUGAUUAAUAGGGAUAGUUGGGGGCAUUCAUAUUUCAUUGUCAGAGGUGAAAUUCUUGGAUUUAUGAAAGAUGAACUUCUGCGAAAGCAUUUGCCAAGGAUGUUUUCAUCG
rnacentral:rRNA from 1 species